rnacentral:rRNA from 1 species
UAAUAUCGGAACGUGCCCAGUCGUGGGGGAUAACGUAGCGAAAGCUACGCUAAUACCGCAUACGAUCUACGGAUGAAAGCGGGGGAUCGCAAGACCUCGCGCGAUUGGAGCGGCCGAUAUCAGAUUAGCUAGUUGGUGGGGUAAAAGCCCACCAAGGCGACGAUCUGUAGCUGGUCUGAGAGGACGACCAGCCACACUGGAACUGAGACACGGUCCAG